AGAGUUUGAUCCUGGCUCAGGACGAACGCUGGCGGCGUGCCUAAUACAUGCAAGUAGAACGCUGAAGAGAGGAGCUUGCUCUUCUUGGAUGAGUUGCGAACGGGUGAGUAACGCGUAGGUAACCUGCCUUGUAGCGGGGGAUAACUAUUGGAAACGAUAGCUAAUACCGCAUAACAAUGGAUGACCCAUGUCAUUUAUUUGAAAGGGGCAAAUGCUCCACUACAAGAUGGACCUGCGUUGUAUUAGCUAGUAGGUGAGGUAACGGCUCACCUAGGCGACGAUACAUAGCCGACCUGAGAGGGUGAUCGGCCACACUGGGACUGAGACACGGCCCAGACUCCUACGGGAGGCAGCAGUAGGGAAUCUUCGGCAAUGGGGGCAACCCUGACCGAGCAACGCCGCGUGAGUGAAGAAGGUUUUCGGAUCGUAAAGCUCUGUUGUAAGUCAAGAACGAGUGUGAGAGUGGAAAGUUCACACUGCGACGGUAGCUUACCAGAAAGGGACGGCUAACUACGUGCCAGCAGCCGCGGUAAUACGUAGGUCCCGAGCGUUGUCCGGAUUUAUUGGGCGUAAAGCGAGCGCAGGCGGUUUGAUAAGUCUGAAGUUAAAGGCUGUGGCUCAACCAUAGUUCGCUUUGGAAACUGUCAAACUUGAGUGCAGAAGGGGAGAGUGGAAUUCCAUGUGUAGCGGUGAAAUGCGUAGAUAUAUGGAGGAACACCGGUGGCGAAAGCGGCUCUCUGGUCUGUAACUGACGCUGAGGCUCGAAAGCGUGGGGAGCGAACAGGAUUAGAUACCCUGGUAGUCCACGCCGUAAACGAUGAGUGCUAGGUGUUGGAUCCUUUCCGGGAUUCAGUGCCGCAGCUAACGCAUUAAGCACUCCGCCUGGGGAGUACGACCGCAAGGUUGAAACUCAAAGGAAUUGACGGGGGCCCGCACAAGCGGUGGAGCAUGUGGUUUAAUUCGAAGCAACGCGAAGAACCUUACCAGGUCUUGACAUCCCGAUGCUAUUUCUAGAGAUAGAAAGUUACUUCGGUACAUCGGUGACAGGUGGUGCAUGGUUGUCGUCAGCUCGUGUCGUGAGAUGUUGGGUUAAGUCCCGCAACGAGCGCAACCCCUAUUGUUAGUUGCCAUCAUUCAGUUGGGCACUCUAGCGAGACUGCCGGUAAUAAACCGGAGGAAGGUGGGGAUGACGUCAAAUCAUCAUGCCCCUUAUGACCUGGGCUACACACGUGCUACAAUGGUUGGUACAACGAGUUGCGAGCCGGUGACGGCAAGCUAAUCUCUUAAAGCCAAUCUCAGUUCGGAUUGUAGGCUGCAACUCGCCUACAUGAAGUCGGAAUCGCUAGUAAUCGCGGAUCAGCACGCCGCGGUGAAUACGUUCCCGGGCCUUGUACACACCGCCCGUCACACCACGAGAGUUUGUAACACCCGAAGUCGGUGAGGUAACCUUUUGGAGCCAGCCGCCUAAGGUGGGAUAGAUGAUUGGGGUGAAGUCGUAACAAGGUA
rnacentral:rRNA from 1 species